GCCCCUCCGAGAACCGCCAAGUUGGUACCAGCCCCUGCCGGCUGCCCUCGGUUUCCUAGGUAGGUGUUGGGAUCCGCCACGCGCGUGGGGGCCGUCGGAAGCCCACCCCUGCGGUGAUCAGGUUUUAGGACCAGUCCAAAUCUUGGAUAUGGGAGAGUCAAAACGUCAACUUUGGGUUGUGUCCUGUCGGAGUCAGUGGGGGAGUAGUUUAGCUUCUUAUAUCCUCAGUGGGCUGCCACAUCCUCUCCCCUCCCCCCAG
rnacentral:lncRNA from 1 species